AGCUUUGCGCAGGUGGCAGUAUCGUAGCCAAUGAGGUUUAUCCGAGGCGCGAUUAUUGCUAAUUGAAAACUUUUCCCAAUACCCCCGCCACGCUGACUUGAAACACAGUCGGCGUCGGCAAUUUUUGCAAGCUCUUUCGGGAG